rnacentral:rRNA from 1 species
GACAGAAUCCUCGAGCGUUACCCGGAUUUAUUGGGCGUAAAGGGUCCGUAGGUGGCGUAGUAAGUUAAAAGUUAAAGCUCAUCGGCUUAACCUUUGAGAUGCUUUUAAUACUGCUAUGCUUGAGGGCGUUAGGGGUUAGCGGAACCGACGGAGUAGGGGUGAAAUCCGUUGAUAUCGUCGGGAACACCAAAAGCGAAGGCAGCUAACUAGGACGACCCUGACACUGAGGGACGAAAGCGUGGGGA